rnacentral:lncRNA from 1 species
UGUCCCAUACAAGAAUAUAUAUGGUUUAGGGGUGGGGAUGUUGACCGUUUACAAGUUUUCAAACAAGAAGGGGUGGUUUGACCGCCUCCGGACUUCCCUUUUAUUUCAUUUCAUUUGUUUUAUUGUCCCCUACAAGAAUCCCCGUUCAAAUAUUGAUUCUAAUGAAAAGUAAAGUCGGUAAGAGGUACGUCAUGUUUCCAUGCGUAAGUCAUAAAUUGUCUGCUGAAAAAUUAGAACGAAUUUUGUAUUUGUAAUUUAAAAUGACGACUUUGAGAGGAGAUGUUCACAUUAGUGAUAUACUGUGUGUACGGCAAGCUACACCAAAUAUCCAAAUAUGUGAUACCGGCCUGA